UACGUAGGGUGCAAGCGUUGUCCGGAAUUAUUGGGCGUAAAGAGCUCGUAGGUGGUCUGUUGCGUCGGCUGUGAAAACCCGGGGCUCAACCCCGGGCCUGCAGCCGAUACGGGCAGACUAGAGUUCGGCAGGGGAGACUGGAAUUCCUGGUGUAGCGGUGAAAUGCGCAGAUAUCAGGAGGAACACCGGUGGCGAAGGCGGGUCUCUGGGCCGAAACUGACACUGAGGAGCGAAAGCGUGGGGAGCGAACAGGAUUAGAAACCCCCGUAGUCC
rnacentral:rRNA from 1 species